GCAAGUCGAAGGAGAAGCUAUCUUCGGAUAGUUGAGACCGGCAGACGGGUGAGUAACACGUGGGAAUAUACCGAUUAGUGGGGGAUAACAGUUGGAAACGACUGCUAAUACCGCAUACGCCCUUCGGGGGAAAGAUUUAUCGCUAUUCGAUUGGCCCGCGUUAGAUUAGCUUGUUGGUAAGGUAACGGCUUACCAAGGCUACGAUCUAUAGCUGGUUUGAGAGGAUGAGC
rnacentral:rRNA from 1 species